rnacentral:lncRNA from 1 species
CGUUUGAAGGUCUCCCUCCCUCUUAUUUACAUGGCAGAAACACCCUUUAUAUAGGAUCUAAAAGAAAAGAAAAAUGAAAGAGGGUAAAGGGAAGAAGAAACUUGCACUAGACGCUUUGUGCUUCCUAAUCGGAUGGCCAACCUUCAUUUUUUCCAGCCAUUUGAUCCUCCACGUGGCAACACCGGCCAGCUUCGGUCACGACUUCUUCUCCACCGGUUAGGGUCACCAUCAAGAGCCAUUAAAGUUUUAUUUCUCUCGCGCUCUCUGGAACCAAGCCCAAGAGGGUUUUCU